GCAGGGACGAAGCGAAAGUGACGGUACCUGCAGAAGAAGCGCCGGCUAACUACGUGCCAGCAGCCGCGGUAAUACGUAGGGCGCAAGCGUUGUCCGGAAUUAUUGGGCGUAAAGAGCUCGUAGGCGGUUUGUCGCGUCUGCUGUGAAAACCCAGGGCUUAACCCUGGGCCUGCAGUGGGUACGGGCAGACUAGAGUGUGGUAGGGGAGACUGGAAUUCCUGGUGUAGCGGUGAAAUGCGCAGAUAUCAGGAGGAACACCGAUGGCGAAGGCAGGUCUCUGGGCCACUACUGACGCUGAGAAGCGAAAGCAUGGGGAGCGAACAGGAUUAGAUACCCUGGUAGUCCAUGCCGUAAACGUUGGGCGCUAGGUGUGGGACUCAUUCCACGAGUUCCGUGCCGCAGCUAACGCAUUAAGCGCCCCGCCUGGGGAGUACGGCCGCAAGGCUAAAACUCAAAGGAAUUGACGGGGGCCCGCACAAGCGGCGGAGCAUGCGGAUUAAUUCGAUGCAACGCGAAGAACCUUACCAAGGCUUGACAUAUACCGGAAACAUCUGGAGACAGGUGCCCCGCAAGGUCGGUAUACAGGUGGUGCAUGGUUGUCGUCAGCUCGUGUCGUGAGA
rnacentral:rRNA from 1 species